CCCCCUCCCCAAGGACUGGGUGUCCUGAUGGAGAGGACCUCGCCUUUGGGCGGGACUGCCCAGCUUCCCCGCAGGGAUGGGGCGCCCCCAACUUCCCGCGACCCUGCAGGGGGAGCCCGAGCGCCAAUGCGCACCCCAGGCGACAAGGUGGCCCAGGCCACUCUCCUCGUGACCUCCAGCAGGAGGCCUCCAGCGCCGACGGCGUCCUCGGGGCCCCCAGCCACCCAAGACAUCGCUCCCUACCCGCACAUGCCUCCCAGUCGGAACAUCCCACCCCAGGCCUGCAGUGCAAAGCCGCCCCGCCUCGCUCUCCGUGCCCACCCUGAUUCCCCCACCCCACGCUGGGGGUGGAGUCUGGCACUCAGCCCACGCCGGGGACACAGUCUGGCAGCCACUGCUCCCGGACGGCAGGUGUCUGAGUCCCUGGCUCCAGGGAAGACCUCGGCCCCCAGGGGGCGCAGCUAAUUUUGCUCCCACCCGUGCACUCAAGAGAAGCAAGGCCAGUGUUCACUCCUGUGAGAGCCGUCAUUACCGUGGCCCCUCGUGGGGAUCACCGAGGUACACAGCGCAAUGCAGGCCGUGCACACUGGGCUGAAGCACCACCGGCACCCAGCGUGGUGAGGAGACCAUCGCCAGGGACCAUGUGCAGAGCACACACAGCCGUGUGAGGCCCAGGCCAGCAGGUGUGUGGCAGCAAGCAGAGGAGCGAGUGCCGGACUGUGGGCGGACAGACACGGAGGGAGAUUUCAGGUGGGCUCGGAGUUUGCUUUCAGGGAGAUAAAAGUGCUCUGAUUAAGUUAGAACACAGCGCUGUGAAGGGCAAAAACCACUGCCUUGUACACUUUAGGUGGUGAUUUGUAUGGUAUGUGGCCUAUAUCUCAGUAAAGUGGUUCUAUAAAAAUAAAUAAUAAUAGAGGAAUACUAUGAAAGUGUUUGGAGAAAUUUAAAGU
rnacentral:lncRNA from 1 species